rnacentral:tRNA from 1 species
ACUUAAAGCAAAACAGAAGAGGCAAGUCGUAACAUGGUAAGUAUACCGGAAGGUGUGCUUGGAAACAAAACGUA